rnacentral:rRNA from 1 species
AUUGAACGCUGGCGGCAUGCCUAACACAUGCAAGUCGAACGGCAGCUCGGGGGCAACCCUGGCGGCGAGUGGCGGACGGGUGAGGAAUACAUAGGAAUCUAACCUGUCGUGGGGGAUAACGUAGGGAAACUUACGCUAAUACCGCAUACGACCGAGAGGUGAAAGCGGCGGACCGCAAGGCGUCGCGCGACUGGAUGAGCCUAUGUCCGAUUAGGUAGUGGGCGGGGUAAGAGCCCACGAAGGCGACGAUCGGUAGCUGGUCUGAGAGGAUGAUCAGCCACACUGGGACUGAGACACGGCCCAGACUCCUACGGGAGGCAGCAGUGGGGAAUAUUGGACAAUGGGCGCAAGCCUGAUCCAGCAAUGCCGCGUGGGUGAAGAAGGCCUUCGGGUUGUAAAGCCCUUUUGUACGGGAAGAAAUCCUGUCGGUUAAUACCCGGCGGGGAUGACGGUACCGUAAGAAUAAGCACCGGCUAACUUCGUGCCAGCAGCCGCAGUAA